AAUACUAAACCUAAAAUAACAAUCAAUGAUAAACAAGCUCUAUCGUUGUCUAGGGGAUAAUGAAUUAUCAUGAGAAAGUAUAAAGUUCAGUUCAAUUCAUGCAGGCUCAGGUAGUUGCUGGUCGAUGUGUUGUAGUUGUUGGAGAGAGAGAGAGAGCGAGAGAGAGAGAGAGGACGAUCAAACAGUGACAGCUAUUGUCUUCCAAACCUUCCUUUACUUUCUGGAUCCGUCGUUUCGUUGUGGCCAUUGAGAGCUAUCAAAAGUGAGAUACCUUCCUCCAGAUAAUGGCCUUCCAAAAAACACUUGUCGUCCUGGUGUUUCUCCUGCUGCUUGUUAACACUGAGUUUUCCAAAGCUCAAAUGACCGGACAUUUUGAACACAGAUUAAACAGUAAUGCAGAGGGAAUUUCUUCACAGGAAAAUAUGAGCGAAAGUCUGAGAAGCAGAUUCCGAC